GAUAAACGCUGACAGAAUGCUUAACACAUGCAAGUCGAUGAUGAGUAUAAUAGCUUGCUAUUAUACAAGUCAUGGCGGACGGGUGAGUAACGCGUAAAGAACUUACCCUCUAGACUGGAAUAACAGGGAGAAAUUUCUGAUAAAACUAGAUAAGUUAGUAAUAGGCAUCUAUUACAAAUGAAACACUAAAUGUGCUAGAGGAGAGCUUUGCGUCCUAUUAGCUAGUUGGUAAGGUAAAGGCUUACCAAGGCGAUGAUAGGUAGCCGGCCUGAGAGGGUGGACGGCCACAAGGGGACUGAGAUACGGCCCUUACUCCUACGGGAGGCAGCAGUGGGGAAUAUUGGACAAUGGAGGAAACUCUGAUCCAGCAAUUCUGUGUGCACGAAGACGGUUUUAGGAUUGUAAAGUGCUUUUAGUUGGGAAGAAAAAAAUGACGGUACCAACAGAAGAAGCGACGGCUAAAUACGUGCCAGCAGCCGCGGUAAUACGUAUGUCGCAAGCGUUAUCCGGAAUUAUUGGGCUUAAAGGGCAUCUAGGCGGUAUAACAAGUUGAAGGUGAAAAGCUGUGGCUCAACCAUAGUCUUGCCUACAAAACUGUAAUACUAGAGUGCUGGAAAGGUGGGUGGAACUACACGAGUAGAGGUGAAAUUCGUAGAUAUGUGUAGGAAUGCCGAUGAUGAAGAUAACUCACUGGACAGCAACUGACGCUGAAGUGCGAAAGCUAGGGGAGCAAACAGG
rnacentral:rRNA from 1 species